rnacentral:snoRNA from 1 species
AUGCAUCUCUGAAAAACCUGGAUCAGUUAAUGUCUGCUGCUAAGGAUUCCCUUAUAGAUGCAAGAAAAAGAAGUUCCUUUUGCUGUCUGUGUGGUUGUUGCAACCAAGAUUGAAAGGGAAAAUACAGGA